rnacentral:rRNA from 1 species
UACGAAGGGUGCAAGCGUUACUCGGAAUUACUGGGCGUAAAGCGUGCGUAGGUGGUUCGUUAAGUCUGAUGUGAAAGCCCUGGGCUCAACCUGGGAAUGGCAUUGGAUACUGGCGGGCUAGAGUGCGGUAGAGGGCAGUGGAAUUCCCGGUGUAGCAGUGAAAUGCGUAGAGAUCGGGAGGAACAUCUGUGGCGAAGGCGGUUCUCUGGGCCUUACCUGACGCUGAGGAGCGAAAGCGUGGGGAGCGAACAGG